UCUUAGGGAAUGGGUGUCACGGUCCAGGUUACGGGCAGUCGGAGUCCUGGCUUGGUACGUCGGGACCGGGGUAGAGGUUGGGAAACAGGAAUCAGCAGUCCAAGGGCCAGGAAGUCAAGAGUCCACGAGUCAGGAAGCCAAGGGUCCAAGAGUCAGGAAACUAGGAGCCAGGAAGCCAAGGGUCCAGGAGUCAGGAUACCAGCAGUCAGGAAGCCAAGGGUCCAGGAGUCAGGCUACCAGCAGUCAGGAAGCCAAGAGUCCAGGAAUCAGGAUACCAGCAGUCAGGAAGCUGAAGCACAGCUAGGUGGGUAGCAUGUUGCUGUGGCAAAGAGCCAGAGGGAAAUGCUGGUCUUAUAUACCCCUCCCGGCCCUUGCCACCAGGUGCUCCGAGUCUUCUGUCAAGCCUCACCUGUGCGGCCGCACCUUGCCCUUCCAGGCCAAACUCAGGAAGACCCCAGUCCUGCGAGGCCCUACAAGUCACAGGGCCUGGCUCCUGCAUGCACUCCUGACAAUGG